rnacentral:rRNA from 1 species
AGUGAACGCUGGCGGUAGGCCUAACACAUGCAAGUCGAACGGCAGCACAGUAAGAGCUUGCUCUUACGGGUGGCGAGUGGCGGACGGGUGAGGAAUACAUCGGAAUCUACUUUUUCGUGGGGGAUAACGUAGGGAAACUUACGCUAAUACCGCAUACGACCUACGGGUGAAAGCAGGGGAUCUUCGGACCUUGCGCGAUUGAAUGAGCCGAUGUCGGAUUAGCUAGUUGGCGGGGUAAAGGCCCACCAAGGCGACGAUCCGUAGCUGGUCUGAGAGGAUGAUCAGCCAAACUGGAACUGAGACACGGUCCAGACGACUACGGGAGGCAGCAGUGGGGAAUAUUGGACAAUGGGCGCAAGCCUGAUCCAGCCAUACCGCGUGGGUGAAGAAGGCCUGCGGGUUGUAAAGCCCUUUUGUUGGGAAAGAAAAGCAGCAGGUUAAUACCCCGCUGUUCUGACGGUACCCAAAGAAUAAGCACCGGCUAACUUCGU